UACGAAGGGGGCUAGCGUUGUUCGGAAUUACUGGGCGUAAAGCGCACGUAGGCGGACCAGCAAGUUAGGGGUGAAAUCCCGGGGCUCAACCCCGGAACUGCCUUUAAAACUGUUGGUCUGGAGGUCGAGAGAGGUGAGUGGAAUUCCGAGUGUAGAGGUGAAAUUCGUAGAUAUUCGGAGGAACACCAGUGGCGAAGGCGGCUCACUGGCUCGAUACUGACGCUGAGGUGCGAAAGCGUGGGGAGCGAACAGG
rnacentral:rRNA from 1 species